rnacentral:rRNA from 1 species
GGGAGACUGUGAGACGUGCACGCCAGUGUACGAGGAGUCGCCGUUGGGAUACCACUCUUGUGUGAUCGGAGUUCUAACCUGGUGGCCUGAACCGGCCAUAGGGAGAGUGCCAGGUGGGCAGUUUGACUGGGGCGGUCGCCUCCCAAAGAGUAACGGAGGCGCCCAAAGGUACGCUCAGAUUGGAUGGAAACCAAUCGCCGAGUGCAAAUGCAGAAGCGUGCUUGACUGU